CACCCGCAGCGCAACAGAGUCGGGGGCGGCCUCCUUGAAGUCCCCUCCCCACCUGCUCGGCUCACUACCCCGGGAGGCUGCAGGGAGGGACUCCGCGCCGGGAUCCGCCUGGUGGCCAGCCUCCGGGUGUGUCCGCACGCGGGAACGCAUUCAUCCAUCAUCCAUCCAUCAUCCACUCUUGCAUCCAACAUUUACUGGGCGCAUCUUCCGUGCCAGCAAUUGGAAUGCACCAUGAUGACAUCCUUGGACUGACCCAGUGGAUGAGGAACAGAAGCUUUGUAAGAAAAAUCCAUCUGGGUGUGCAGAAAUGCAAAAACUCUUCCAAAAAAUAAGACCAUUGGAGCCACCAAAAUGAGCUAGUUCUGUAUCCCGCUCUUGCGGAUGAGUCUGAAGAAUGUUCCAGCUGCAAACCUCAAUGUGGUCAAUGCCAGUGCCUACAGCCAGGGGCUGAGGGAAGGAGGAGGUUGUAAGUGGAGCUGUUGUGUCCCCCACUUGGAAACCCCUCUGAGGAGAGAAGAGAUGGAUCCCGACCCUUCGGUUUCACCUCCUGUGUUUCUCCAACACUCAAGUGGGCUCCACCACCCAAGCCUCUCUGGUGGCUUCAGGCACUUAUGUUGUGUGCUGAUAACGGAAGACAAAGAAAAUUCGCGACCCGGGGUGUCAGACAGAGAGCUUUUUGCCGGCUUGUCAAGUUAGACAAAGUCUGACCGCGUUGUCCUCAGUGGCCGUUUCUCUGCCGCAUUUUCCUGCCGUCCAGUGUAAACAGAUUGAGGCUUUCUUGCUGUCAACCAAUUUAUUGUGAGAACCUGUUUUUAGCCCAUCUAAAGCAUAGAGUUUUGCUGUUGAUACAGGCCUAGAGGAUCGUGAAGUGUCUUUUAGGGAGUCGGGAGAAAGGUCGUCGAAGAUGAUUGGUGUGGGGCCCCUGGGUGGCUCAGUCGAUUAAGCGUCUGACUUCAGCUCAGGGCGUGAUCUCACAGGCUGUGAGUUCGAGCCCCACGUUGGGCUCUGUGCUGACAGCUUGGAGCCAGGAGCCUGCUUCGGAUUCUGCGUGUGUGUCUCUCUCUCUGCCCCUCCCCACUCGCACUCUGCCCCUUUC